rnacentral:rRNA from 1 species
UACAGAGGUCUCAAGCGUUGUUCGGAUUCAUUGGGCGUAAAGGGUGCGUAGGCGGCGCGGUAAGUCGGGUGUGAAAUCUCGGAGCUUAACUCCGAAACUGCAUUCGAUACUGCCGUGCUUGAGGACUGGAGAGGAGACUGGAAUUUACGGUGUAGCGGUGAAAUGCGCAGAUAUCAGGAGGAACACCAAUGGCGAAGGCAGCACUCUGGGACGUGACUGACGCUGAGACGCGAAAAGCGUGGGGGAGCAAACAGG